GGAACCAUGGUCUUGUGGCUCUGAGCUCCAAGUCUGUGUACUCGGUGGAAAGCCACCUUGUUUACAGUCUCUAUAGGAAGUUUCAAGGCGGACUGCAUGAAUUCUCUGAUCGCGCACUCUGGAUUAUUGGAUGCGUCCUCAGGAAUCCCAUAAAAAUAACAUAUUUCCACGCAUGCUACGACUUUGUAUGUCUAGUAGCGACUCCUUCAGCACCCUGUUUUCCCUGAGUAGACCAUCCAUUUUGGAAUCGUGGAUUUUUGUCUUGGCUGUGAGUGUCUUGUUUCUUCUUUGGAGCUGCUAACUCCCCCUCAGCCCUGCUACCUCCUCACACAACUUUUCCAGUGUUGCAUGGAUUCCAGCCAGAGAACUAGCCUCUACCUCAAUAAAUAUCAGCAAGGAGCAGAGACAGAUGGCUGCUAUCCACUGCAGCGCCAUCUUAAAUUUGGAGGAACUGCAGAGCAAGAAUGUCGUGUUGCCAGCCACAAUGAUAGAUGGGAGAGUGAGUCAGUACCUUCCAGGUUCUUGGAGAACAGGACCUGUAUGAGCAGCCAGAUGAAGAGGAGGACCACAACACCCUCGAUCAUCCCCUUGCAGCAGAAGAAGAGUACAGACUGCCAUACAGGCUGGUUGAGGUCCUCUUCCUCCAGGUGAUAAGGCAUGGUGACACCUGCCAGGGAGCCAGCUCUGGAAGCUCUGUAACACUGUGUAAGUCUUCUGUAGGCCCCUUCCUCUUCUUCAGCCAGUUGAGCUCUGAUCAUUUCUGUCAGACACCUACAGUAUAAGCUCCAGCCUCUCACUCCUGUAGUCACCCUUUUCCCCUUUUAGCUUGGAGGAGCUGGAGGGUAUUCAAGGAUUUGUUCAUAUAAGUUCCCAGCUAAAAUUACAAAAAUAAGAAUUAAAAGAGCAAAACGUGAUGCAGAUGUUGUGAUACAGAAUGGUCCAUUAAUCCUCACAUUAUGCUCUGACAAGCGUCAACAAAAAAAUGACAAACUUGGUCUUCGUUUCAAAGUCCACAAAGCAGUUAGUUCGGCUGACCCAUGCUGAGUUGCUUCAUUCCACAGCUGAAACGAUCGCUCAUUCAGUGAAGUGGCAGGUGCUCCGGGCCAUUAUGGCGAUGUGAUGUGGAUAUCCCCAUGACUUCUCAACAAUACCCUUGUUCUAUUCUGUAAUCUCUCCAGGACAGUAACCCCUUCUCCCUUGCAGAGAGGGGGAGGCUGGUGGGGUGGUGUAGGCACAAUACUUUUGAGCCAAGUGUCAAUGAAGGGAGGUUUGUUCGUCCUGCAGUUUUUAUCUCUGGCUAGAUUUCUCUCAUAACUGCAGUCGUGUCCCAGCUACCAACUCUCCCCACUCCAUGCCAAAUACGCAAACACUGUCAGCACAAUUCCCCCUCCCUUUCUUUUGUGACCUGCAAGCUGUCACUUCCAUUAGCAAGUUCUGGUCUGCAGACUGCAGAGAUGCUCACUCUGUUGCAAACUGCCUGCACAUACACUUUCUCACUGCCAUUCAGAGAAGCAGGGAACUCUUCACUGGCCCAUGGCCAACAUUUAGAUUGCAUUCAGUGUUCACCUCAAUUACUGUAAUGGAACGCAAUUUGUGUGUGUGUGUAAAAAAAGACAGGGGGGGGGGUGUAGCAUUUCAAUGUCUUCUGUAUUGUCCACAUAUAGGAGUGUGAUAACAUGAGCCAGAAUAUCAAGUCUUUCAUAUCUUGUUGGACUACUUUAUGCUGACUGGUGUUCCAUUCCACUCCACAUUAUAUCCAGAUCCAAAUGACACUAUAUUUCAAAUGGAGGUACACUGAGUGAUAUAUUCUAAUGAUUGUGUCCAUAGUCAGUUUAAAAAAACAUGUUUGCAGGUGGGGAAAACCCUCAAACCUAUAUCAUGUUAUCCAAGUACAAUAACGUCAAACAACUGAGGGAUACAGGGUUAUCACUAAGCUGGGAAAAUGCUGCUAUCUAUUGAUCAUCAGUAAAAAACACUAUUUUACACCCCAAAAAAAACAAAUAAAAAGAUGGAUGUUUCCCUCUAAGGAAAUACUGGUUCACUUACUCCUUUGACCCACUAAAAGGCUCAUUGUUGUUUGAAGGGGAAUGGAAGCAAAGAGAUGUAUUCAAUCCACUAAUACUAAACAUGUGCAUUUAACAUAGAAACAUCUCUAUUUUUUCUUGAACAAUAUUUAUUAGAGGUAUGAGUAGCGGAGUAGCGCCAUCUUAAAUUGUCAUAGUAACGACUGACACCAAUGUGACAUUGGUAGGAAUGAGCAAAUUGUGUGUUUUGGAGACUGAAUAGACUAGUGGCAAGUCCGCAUUGAUGUUCAUGUACCCCUACCCGAAGUAUAACAAAGCACAACCAUGUUUAUCUAUAUCUCUAAGGUCUCCCAUAUAUGAAAUGGAUGGUUGUGUAAAAACAUUUUACUGCAAAAGUGCUUCAAUUACAUAGAUAUUGUGACACGACCCCUUUACUCAAACAGCAUUUUUGAUGUAAUUGUUUUCAAUGAUAACUGUACAAAAUAAAAUGCUCAUAUUGACAAUUUGAAGAGCAUUUAUCAUUAGGUAGCCGGCUAGUGAUGGCUAUUUAACAGUCUGAUGGCCUUGAGAUAGAAGCUGUUUAUCAUUCUCUCGGUCCCAGCUUUUAUGCAACUGUACUGACCUCGCCUUCUGAAUGAUAGCGGGGUGAACAGGCAGUGGCUCAGGUGAUUUAUGCCCUUGAUGAUCUUUUUGGCCUUCCUGUGACAUCGGGUGCUGUAGGUGUCCUGGAGGGCAGGCAGUGUGCCCCCGGUGAUGCGUUGGGCAGACCGCACCUCCCUCUGGAGAGCCCUGCGGUUGUGGGCGGUGCAGUUGCCAUACCAGGCAGCGAUACAGCUCAACAGCAUGCUCUCAAUUGUGCAUCUGUAAAGGUUUCUGAGAGUUUUAGGGGUCAAGCCAAAUUUCUUCAGCCUCCUGAUGUUGAAGAGGUGCUGUGGCGCCUACUUCACAACACUGUCUGUGUGGGUGGACCAUUUCAGAUUGUCAGUGAUAUGUAUGCCAAAGAACUUGAAGCUUUACACCUUCUUCACUGCGGUCUCGUCGAUGUGGAUAGGGGCGUGCUCCCUCUGAUGUCUCCUGAAGUCCAUGAUCAGCUCCUUUGUUUUGUUGAGGGAGAGGUUAUUUUCCUGGCAGGGCCCUCACCUCUUCCCUGUAGGCUGUCUCGUCAUUGUUGUUUAUCAUGCCUACUACUGUUAUGUUGUCUGCAACUUGAUGAUUGAGUUGGAGGUGUGCGCGGCCACGCAGUCAUGGGUGAACAGGGAGUACAGGAGGGGGCUGAGCACGCACCCUUGUGGGGCCCCAGUGUUGAGAAUCAGUGUAGUGGAGAUUGCUGUUUCCUACCUUCACCACCUGGGGG